CCAACCCUUGGGGUGGUUGCAGAUGUUGGAGGACACGCCCAUGCCAUCCAAUAGUUGCUUGCUACCUGGAAUAUUUGGAAGAAUGACUGUGAUGCAACUAUUACCGGUGCUAAUGCACCACCAUGAACAGCUGUCAGGAGUUGCAGUCUUGAGUCUCUGCUUGCACCAUCUGAUUCUCUUGAACAUAAACUGAGCCACGAUACUUGUGAUAAAUACCAGCUGUAUCAAUGCAAAAGUGCUUGUCCAGAAGCAAGGUGAAUAUAUUUCUGGCCAUUUUCGCAGGAGGAGAAAAUCAAUACAGGAAGAACAGCCGGCAGAGGAAGAAAGCCAUGCAGUGCAGGGGAAGGGAUCAGACGUACGCAUGUACCUAUCGGGGGAUUAAAAUUGAGCGAGCCUUACCUGACGAAUCAUCGAGCAAGCCCGCGUGGAGGAACAUCUCCUGCACCCUCCUGGGAAUCCUGGCGAGAACGGAUGAGUAGUGCAGGCUCCUCCCUCCUUCCAUGGCAAGAGUGAGGCCAAUGCGAGUGCGAGACAGAGGGGAAGGAGAAGAGGGAGAGGUGGCGAUAUAUUGGAGGUGGAGAGACCCGACCGAGCCCCUGAUGGUUACAGCUUUGGCGUGUAAUAGAGAGCAGAGUGGCACUGUGGCAGAGGCUCCAGUGGAAAAAACAGUAUUUUUCAUCCGGCAGGUCACAGGCCAACACCGCCCGUUGAAAAAUUUGGCUACUCAAGCCUCAUAGAUCUGUAUGGUAUGGUUAUGCAUGUCCUAUUGAUCGAUCUGGUGCUUAAUAAGCCAUUUGCUACUAAGAUGUUUGGGGUGCACCGAUCCAACAGAGGUCUUUUUUUUUAUGUUAGUGUCUGGUGAAAUAAUAUCAUGUGUAUUCCUCUCGGGAACUCAUUUUAUACUAGUGAUAUUAUUCAUUUCCCUGUCUCUUUUGAGCAAAGUGAAGGCAGGCCAUCUGUGCGUGAAUACUCAUCCGUGAAAUUAUAACCUGCAUCAAACGGUGCUAGUUGUAUGAUCGAA